UACGGAGGGGGCUAGCGUUGUUCGGAAUUACUGGGCGUAAAGAGCUCGUAGGUGGCGGGUCACGUCGGGUGUGAAAGCCCGGGGCUCAACCCCGGGUCUGCAUUCGAUACGGGUCUGCUAGGGUCCGGCAGGGGAGACUGGAAUUCCCGGUGUAGCAGUGAAAUGCGUAGAGAUCGGGAGGAACAUCAGUUGCGAAGGCGGCUCUCUGGACCAGCACUGACACUGAGGCACGAAAGCGUGGGGAGCAAACAGG
rnacentral:rRNA from 1 species